rnacentral:rRNA from 1 species
CUCUAAAAUCCACACCCUGAAUGAGCCCUGUCUCUUCUGAUCUCAGAGGCCCAGCAGGGUCGGCCCUGGAUAGCAUUUGGAUGGGAGACAACCUGGGAAUAUGGGGUGCUGUAGGCU